rnacentral:rRNA from 1 species
AUUGAACGCUGGCGGCAGGCCUAACACAUGCAAGUCGAGCGGAUGAGAGGAGCUUGCUCUUUGAUUCAGCGGCGGACGAGUGAGUAAUGCCUAGGAACCUGCCUGGUAGUGGGGGACAACGUUUCGAAAGGAACGCUAAUACCGCAUACGUCCUACGGGAGAAAGUGGGGGAUCUUCGGACCUCACGCUAUCAGAUGAGCCUAGGUCGGAUUAGCUAGUUGGUGAGGUAAUGGCUCACCAAGGCGACGAUCCGUAACUGGUCUGAGAGGAUGAUCAGCCACACUGGAACUGAGACACGGUCCAGACUCCUACGGGAGGCAGCAGUGGGGAAUAUUGGACAAUGGGCGCAAGCCUGAUCCAGCCAUGCCGCGUGUGUGAAGAAGGUCUUCGGAUUGUAAAGCACUUUAAGUUUGGAGGAAGGUCAGUAGCUUAAUACGUUGCUGAUUUGACGUUACCGACAGAAUAAGCACCGGCUAACUCUGUGCCAGCCGCCGCGGUAAGAC